CUUUCCACCAAAUGCAUUUUUCUGUCUGUGUGACAGAAUCUCUAUCCUGUUAUUGUACCUUAAGAAUAAAACCUGUCUGUGCUGUUCCCACCUAACACUAUCACCAACUAUAGCCCACCUGGUGCUGUGUGGUGUUCCUUGGGCAGAGCCUCAGCGAGAGCUAUCUCUCAGGAAAAUUAGUAAAGGCCUCUUGCCCAUUGAAGUAACUACACUCAGAUAAGCAGGGUUUCCCACAUAAAGGGGAGGUUCAGUGGAGAAACAUGAAGAUGGUCAUACCACCAUUCUGAAAAGUAGUACCCGGUUCACAUAACUCCAGAUUGUCACAUAGUUUGAUUCUUGUUUCUUUACCUCAGAAUCACUUUCUGCCAGAUUUGUCUUCAUUCCUCUGAAGAUGUUGAUCAGUAAAGCACUCCACAGAAACUUCCAAUCCAUGACAACCUUAGAGAUGGUUCCCUGGGAACAAACUGGCACUGCAGAAAAGCAAUAGAAGUGCUAAAAAUUUAAAUUGAAGAUGUGCUCUCUCAUCUCCAUGAUCUGGCCACCUUCUGCUGUGUUUGUACCACCAUCGAGGAUCCUUAUUCCCGAGGAGCUGUCAGUCAAAAUAAACUUUCUUAUGAAUUGCUUUUCAACACACUGUUUGUCAUAGCAAUAGGAAAGUAACUACUGACAUGGUGCUGCAAAGUUAUUGGACACCAUGAUAAAGAAAAUCUUCAGAUUCUAAAAUAUCAUCAUAUGCUAUGAACUCAUUGUUAUUCUUUUAAACCUCCACCAUGUGUAGAAAGAAGUACUCAAGUAACAUCAGUGGCCCAGAAACUCAACAUCAUCUAUGUGAGAAGCAAGUUCUGUUUUAAUUUGCUCUGGUUUCUCAGUAGUAGUGGUUGCUUUAGUUUCUCAUAAACUGAGGCUCUGAUUCCAGAAAGAGAUUCAACAGGCUGGCUUGCUAGUCGCUAGUACACUCUGUCCACUUAAUCUAUCUAAAUCUCAGUAUCUUUAUUUCUGAAUCAGCAUUAAUGAUAAUAAUAAUACUGUGGUAAAGAAUA